AAUAUGUGACUAUGGGCGAAAGCCUGAUCCAGCCAUGCCGCGUGUGUGAAGAAGGNCUNNGGAGUNUNAAGCACUUUCAGUUGNNNNNAUGGGCAGUAAGGUAAUACCUUGCUGUUUUUACGUUACCGCCAGAAUAAGCCCCGGCUAUCUUCGCCCCAGCAGCCGCGGUAAUACGAAGGGUGCAAGCGUUAAUCGGAAUUACUGGGCGUAAAGCGCGCGUAGGUGGUUUGUUAAGUUGGAAGUGAAAGCCCCGGGCUCAACCUGGGAACUGCUUUCAAAACUGGCAAGCUAGAGUAUGGCAGAGGGUGGUGGAAUUUCCUGUGUAGCGGUGAAAUGCGUAGAUAUAGGAAGGAACACCAGUGGCGAAGGCGACCACCUGGGCUAAUACUGACACUGAGGUGCGAAAGCGUGGGGAGCAAACA
rnacentral:rRNA from 1 species